CUCAAACGCGGCCAGCCCCCACCCGAUCUCCAUGCCUGCUUCCUUGGUCAGCGAGCCCCGUCCCCAGUGCCGGAUGGGGCGGAGCGUUGCAGCCCCGUCCAGCCCCCAACUCCAGCACUCCCGAAGCUCCCCCCGAUCCGACGUCGUGGUGGCCGACGGCUGGAUCCCUCCACCCCUGCGCGCAGAAGUCCCUCGCGUCGCGGUCCUCCUCGUCGGCGAACCGGCACAGGGAAGCACCACCGCCUCCGACGCCUAGACUCUUACAGAGCGGGAACAGGAGCGUAGGGAUGAGGGACCGACUGUAGAAGAUGGUGGAGCGGGAGUGCCAGAAGGAGCUCCACAGCGUGGUUGACGACCUGGAGGAAGCUGGCCGAUAAGAGGUAAUGUUCUGGUGCUCUGCGUAGCAGUGCUAGAAGUUUUCUUGUGAUCGUCCAUUUGCAAUCAAACAAAGGUCGUGAGGAUGCAAGGCCUUGAAUAACAUCACUAGCACCAGGUUCCCUAGACAUUCAAAGAGAUGGUGGCUUGAUAACAGUGACAGGUAUUUGUGAAGGGUCGUGGAAUGGAAAUGGAUCAUGAAAAAAUAAAAUGUGUAUGCCUCUCAAAGCAAUGUUGUAUAAUGGAUCACCUGUCAUACUGUGUUCGGUAUGUGAUCGAAUCAUAAUUGUUCUCACUUUUUAUUAUAAGAAUUUUUCGUAAUAAAACA